GCUGAGGGGAGGCGUCCCGGUGCCCCGUGGAGGGGUCCCGGCCCAGUGUGACACGGGGGGGAAAGUAAUUUCGGGAGAAACGAACGAGGCGUCUCGUUCCCCGAAAGGCAAAAUGACACUGAGCACACCAAAACUUCUCGGGGGGGACAUGUCCUCAGCCAGGUCUCAGGGAAAUCGUUCCAGCAAAGCAUCCCCUGCACUGGGAACUGUGGGAGUUUCACCAGGAGGGCUGUGCAAUAGAAAUGUCUCAGCCUGAAUCAGGUUUUUACCUAUCGCACCCUUCAGUGGGGUGUGGACUUGUUUAACUACCUGGAAUAUAAACCAUGCUGAGAAGAGUGCUUAAGCCAAUGCAGUGCAGCCUUCUCUGAGGGUUUCUUCACUCAAAAACCACGCAGACUGAGUACUGCAUCCUGCAACAGCCAUCUGCUUAGCAGAUACAUGAAAAAAUAAUAAUCAAAAGUCAGCAUGAGAACAGAGUUGUAUAAAAGAAUGGGGCUUUUAUUCUCUUACUAUUAAAGUUGCCAUGGAAGUUUCUAUUAUUUUAUGCAUGGAGUCAAGAUUUUCCCCUGUUAAUGGAUCUUCCAGGAUACCUGGCUGAUAAUUUCUCUUCAAAUUAUGAAAAGGAAAAAAAGAAAAAAAAGUUUUGCUUUUAUGUACAACUGAAGAAAAAGGUUACUGUAAUAAAGCUUAGUA